rnacentral:rRNA from 1 species
GACGAACGCUGGCGGCGUGCUUAACACAUGCAAGUCGAACGGAAAGGCCCUGCUUUUGUGGGGUGCUCGAGUGGCGAACGGGUGAGUAACACGUGAGUAACCUGCCCUUGACUUUGGGAUAACUUCAGGAAACUGGGGCUAAUACCGGAUAGGAGCUCCUGCUGCAUGGUGGGGGUUGGAAAGUUUCGGCGGUUGGGGAUGGACUCGCGGCUUAUCAGCUUGUUGGUGGGGUAGUGGCUUACCAAGGCUUUGACGGGUAGCCGGCCUGAGAGGGUGACCGGCCACAAUGGGACUGAGGUACGGCCCAGACUCCCACCGGGGGCAACAGGGGGGAAUAUUGCCCAAUGGGCGGAAGCCUGAUGCAGCAACGCCGCGUGCGGGAUGACGGCCUUCGGGUUGUAAACCGCUUUCGCCUGUGACGAAGCGUGAGUGACGGUAAUGGGUAAAGAAGCACCGGCUAACUACGUG